AUAGAGCUAAAAUUCACCAUCUAAGCACUAAGACUUUACAGUUAAAACUUAAAGGACAUGGCGACGGUAUUUACUCAGGGGAACUUACCAGGUAAAUGAUAACCCACAAGGAACCGUGCUAAUUUUUAAAGUAUGUAUACCGCCGUCAUGAACUUACCUUAGGUAAGUUCAAAUAGUUAAUGUAACUAAAGGACAGGUCAUGGUGCAGCCCAUAAAUUAGUCUCAGGCGAGUUACACUAUUUCCUUUUUAUUCGUUACCUAUUUCAAAUGAAAUAGGAGAAGCCGGACUUGAAAGUAAAUAGGAAAAGAAAUACUUAUUGAAUAACCUUUUACCGUGC
rnacentral:rRNA from 5 species